UGAACUACUUGGCACCGUGGGGUGCCUUGAGCACCAAGAAGGUUCCUCCAAGCACAGGUCUCUUAUUGCACCACAAGAGAACAAUGCUCGCUACUUCCACUAAUUGUGGUUGGUUAGGGUGCAUAAUUAUUGGUAGUUGGGACUGCGCACGCGUUGUCCCAU